UGUACACCAAACGAGAGUAAACAUUAGAGAAAAAUCCAAAGCAGGGAGGAUAGGGCGUGUAGGGUGCUGCUGUUUUUAUGGAGUGGUCUGGGAAUGCAGCUCUGCUAAGCUGAGGUUGAGGUGUAGACCUGAAGGAAGUGAAGAUUCCGGGAGAAAGUAUUCUGGAAAAGAGGAACAGCAAAGGCAAAGGACACCAAGCGUGUUUGGCAGGUUCCCAGGUCACCCAGAGAUCCUAGGUAAUGAGAGCUGAGUAACAGGUGAGAGGAAACUUGGUCUAAGAGGCAGAGGAAUGCCAGAUAGAGCAGAACCCUGGCAGGCAUAUGGACUUUAUAUAUUACUACUACAAGCGAGGUUUGGAGGGCUUUGAGCCAACCUGGAACAUAUUGAACUUGCCUGCUGUGGUAUGAAUCCAUUGUAAAGGGGCAAGGGAGGCCCACAUGGAUGGAUGUUGGGGGCUAUUUCAGUCAUUCAGGCAAGACAUGAAGGUAGUUGGGUCCAGGAGGAUAAGGAUGGAGGUGAAAAAGAUGUUGGGUUCUUGACAUACGUGAAAAUAGAGCCUGGCCAGAUGUGGUGGCUCACACCUGUAAUCCCAGCAUUUUGGGAGGCUGAGGUGGGAGGAUUGCUUAAGGUCAGGAGUUCAAAAUCAGCCUGGACAACAUAGUGAGACCCUCCUCUACUAUAUAUAUAUCCUGGGCAUGGUGGCUGUGCCUGUGGCCCUAUCUACUCAGGAGACUGAGGUGGGAGGAUUGCUUGAGCCCAGGAGGUCGAGGCUAGCAGUGAGCUAUGAUUGCAUCACAGCAUGAAAAAGAACCAAGAGGAGGGCCACAUGAACGGCAGGGGGAUCUACUACUGUGAGGCUUCAAUCUUUUUUGGAAAGUUUUCCCCCAGAAAGAGAUAUGCUUGUAUUUUUCUUUUUUUUUUUAAAGAGCCCUACCCGUAUCGUACACCCUUCAGGCCCCACACACCUUGGUUCUUGUCCCUGCAUGUGAGAUACAAGCUGGGUCAAGAAUGACUCUAAAGCCAGCUAGGUCGCACAUGCCUGUAGUCCCAGCUGCUAGGGAGGCUGAGGCAAGAGGAUUGCUUGAGCCCAGGAGUUCCAGGCUGCAGUGAGCUAUGCUGAUCAGGUGUCUGCACUAAGUUCCGCAUCAAUAUAGUGACAUCCUGGGAGCAGGCGACCACCAGGUUGCCUAAGGAGGGGUGAACUGGUCCAGGUCAGAAAUGGAGCGGGUCAAUUAUUUGGAAAGCCCUAAUUUGGAAGUCCUAUAUCCCAAAACUUCGGUACUCCUCCUUAGCUGAAGAAAUUCAGGCCCACAUAUCCAGGGGGAAAUCUACCCCAAGACCUCCCUUUUCCAACCAGCCAGCAGCCCAGAGAGCAUCCCUGUGUAGAAAGCAACUGGAUGCAUCCUUGUCUUUUCUCUGUCACUGACUGCAUUAUUGACAAAGAUCCCGUAGCCGGGACUUCACAUUUGAACUGCCUCAGGCUCCAGGUGGCACCCUCUCUUGAGCUCCCCUUCUGAUCAAUAAUGGGAUGGCACCUGUGAAUUGGCACUGCAUUUCAGCUUGGACAACAUAGCAAGACCCUGUCUCUAAACAAAUAUUAAUUCAAAACAAAAAGAGUGACUCUAAGGUUUGGGGCUUGAAUAGCAAGGGAGUAGAGUUGCCAUUGUCUUGGUCACCAUUUAUAUCUAUCUUGUCUUCACCCUUUCCUGUCCCAGUUGCUCUGUAUCAAAGUUUUCCUUUCAAUAUUUCUUUAGGACCCACUUCUUCACGCCUUCCUCAGCAACUUCUCCAUGUGGCCCCUUAGGAGCUAAAGCGCUCUGCACUGGAUUAUAUGACUUGCCUGUUGUGGACUCAGGGCUUCUCAAAGUUACAUGAAUUCUCCGUGCUUAGGGAAAUUGGAUGACCUCUGUUCUCUGACCAAAGAUAAAAGAAGAUUAUUCUGUGAUCCUAUACGAGUCAGUGGCUAAUGGAACUACCAAAAAAAUGAUAACAAUGCAAAUAAUGUAAUUGGUUCUAAGCAGUGCUUUGCAGGCUCCUAAGGAUGGUUCUAAGUAAGCCAGGAGUAGGUGAUACAUUGUAAUUCUGGGACCCAUGAGCUUAGCAGGACAAAGGAAACCAUGAAUCACCCUAGUCCCAGAAGUACCUUUUCAUAGGCCCCAGGGAUUCCAACAUCAUUAUUCACUCUCCACUCUGCAAGUGACUUAGGUCGUGAGCAUCUCUGAGUCUGCACAGGCUCUGCCAUGUGGCUGUGGGGGUCCGGCUUCUCUGAUGGAUGGGAAGAUAAUGCUCGGGGCUCCAAUGCUAUUAUCUCCUCAUCUCUGUCACAAGGAGAUUUAUACUUAUGAUUUACCCUUUUCAUGAACAUGGGAAAAUUCUUUUUUCUAGUGUUGUUUCUGGAAUGUUCUUUGCUGUGUCUAAAUGAGCUGAUUCCACUGUUGGGAGAGGUGGAUGAUGUGAGCAGUAAGAAGGCAUUAGUUUCUUGAAAACUAGAUCCAUAUUUAGGUGAGAUGAAAUCAAACUACCUGAUUUUAAAAAAAACAAACUAUGUUUAUUUACCGUAUGUCUUGAUUCCUAUAUACAUUGAAAAAUUAUAUUCAUAAAACUGUUUAAAAUAAGAGAUGAUGGGCUGGACGCAGUGGCUCAUGCCUGUAAUCUCAGCACUUUGGGAGGCCAAGGCGGGCAGAUCACUUGGGCCCAGGAGUUCGAGACCAGGCUGGGCAACACGGCAAAACC
ensembl:lncRNA novel transcript